GAACAUAUAUAUGAUGGUUGAGAAAGACACGUAUUCUGAUCAUGAAGAAAUAAAUACAAGUUAAAUAUGACUAAGCAGAAAGAUGGAAGGACCAGGAACAGUGAUGCUAACUUGGAGCCACUAUGCAGGCUCUAAACUCCUCUACAAUCAGCCUCCCUUGUGAGAAAAAAUACUUGGUCUGAAGGGCCCAGCAAGGAGCCGGCUCACGGAAGAAUGCAGUUUUCACAUCGUGAUGACUUAAUCUUCCUUGACCUGACCAGUCAACAACCCCAAUUCUCCAGACCCCGGCCCACCACAAUCUCCUUAACAACCCUUGCCCAGAACCCCGCAAGCAGACAGAUUUGAAGCUUGAGGAUUCUUUCCAUCUUUUUGCCCACUGGCCUUGUGAUUAUUAAACCCUUUUUCUGCUGCAAA